rnacentral:sRNA from 1 species
GCAGAGCUCAACUCUGCCCCUCAAACCACAAUAGGAACCAGUGGUUUCUGGGUGAUCCUCAUGACAGUUUCCAGUGUCUACCUGGAAUGAAACGAAUGGUACAAGGAAAUGCUAGAACUAGUG